rnacentral:rRNA from 1 species
UUUCCAGACUCCUACGGGAGGCAGCAGUGGGGAAUAUUGGGCAAUGGGCGCAAGCCUGACCCAGCAACGCCGCGUGAAGGAAGAAGGCUUUCGGGUUGUAAACUUCUUUUGACAGGGAAGAGCAGAAGACGGUACCUGUCGAAUAAGCCACGGCUAACUACGUGCCAGCAGCCGCGGUAAUACGUAGGUGGCAAGCGUUAUCCGGAUUUACUGGGUGUAAAGGGCGUGUAGGCGGGAAAGCAAGUCAGAUGUGAAAACCACGGGCUCAACCUGUGGCCUGCAUUUGAAACUGUUUUUCUUGAGUACUGGAGAGGCAGACGGAAUUCCUAGCGUAGCGGUGAAAUGCGUAGAUAUUAGGAGGAACACCAGUGGCGAAGGCGGUCUGCUGGACAGUAACUGACGCUGAGGCGCGAAAGCGUGGGGAGCAAACAGGAUUAGAUACCCGCGUAA